GACACAAUGACUGGAAACUGGC
rnacentral:misc_RNA from 1 species